UACGUAGGGUGCAAGCGUUGUCCGGAAUUAUUGGGCGUAAAGAGCUCGUAGGCGGUCUGUCGCGUCGGCUGUGAAAACUCGGGGCUCAACCCCGAGCCUGCAGUCGAUACGGGCAGACUAGAGUGCUGUAGGGGAGACUGGAAUUCCUGGUGUAGCGGUGAAGUGCGCAGAUAUCAGGAAGAACACCCGUGGCGAAGGCGGCUCUCUGGGACGGUACUGACGCUGAGACGCGAAAGCGUGGGGAGCAAACAGG
rnacentral:rRNA from 1 species